GGAGGUGCCGAUGCUCAUAGAUGCAUUCCUUGGAAAGCUGAAAAAAAUGAGUAAAAAAUACUCCAUUGUCAAAAUUUGUGCUUUGUCUUC
ensembl:snoRNA SNORD116 Small nucleolar RNA SNORD116